GAGGGUAUAGCUUAGUGGUAGGGUGCAUGCUUAGCAUGUAUGAAGUCCUGGGUUCAAUCCUCUGUACCUCCG
rnacentral:tRNA from 1 species